UACGAAGGGGGCUAGCGUUGCUCGGAAUCACUGGGCGUAAAGCGCACGUAGGCGGCUUUUUAAGUCGGGGGUGAAAUCCUGGAGCUCAACUCCAGAACUGCCUUCGAUACUGAGAAGCUUGAGUCCGGGAGAGGUGAGUGGAACUGCGAGUGUAGAGGUGAAAUUCGUAGAUAUUCGCAAGAACACCAGUGGCGAAGGCGGCAUCCUGGACCGGUAUUGACGCUGAGGCGCGAAAGCCAGGGGAGCAAACGGG
rnacentral:rRNA from 1 species